CGGGGCCCGCACAAGCAGCGAGCGUGUGGUUUAAUUCGAUGCUACACGAAGAACCUUACCAGGGUUUGACAUGCAAGUGGUAGGAAGCCGAAAGGUGACCGACCCUUCGGGGAGCUUGCACAGGUGCUGCAUGGCUGUCGUCAGCUCGUGUCGUGAGAUGUUCGGUUAAGUCCGCUAACGAGCGCAACCCUCGCUGUGUGUUAUAUGUGUCACACGGGACUGCCGGUCUUAAGCCGGAGGAAGGUGAGGAUGAUGUCAAGUCAGCAUGACCUUUAUAUCCAGGGCUACACACACGCUACAAUGGUCUGUACAAUGGGUAGCCAAGCCGCGAGGCGGAGCCAAUCCUGAAAGCAGGCCUCAGUUCAGAUUGCAGUCUGCAACUCGACUGCAUGAAGCCGGAGUUGCUAGUAACCGCAGGUCAGCAAUACUGCGGUGAAUACGUUCCCGGGUCUU
rnacentral:rRNA from 1 species